rnacentral:lncRNA from 1 species
UGAAUUCCAAGGUCAUUAAAUAACCAUUAAAUCGGGAUUUAAGAUUUCAUUUUUUAUUUUAUUAGUCAUAUUUUCCUCGUUUCGAUGUUAUUCUUUGGCUCUAAACACUCUAUAUGUCCAUGUUCAUGGGAAAAACCGUUUGCCACCUUUAUAUUUAAACCAUUCCUCUUCUCCAUUUCUUCAUUAUUUACUCAUCUUCCCUACGGAGACACCAAAAAAAAAGAAAAAAGGUGAACAUCAUUUCCAUUUUUU